rnacentral:lncRNA from 1 species
UAAAAUUUGGAUAAUAGCAAAUCCCAAAUGUAAGAAUCACUUAUAUGGUUCAGAGACUUACAGCUUCAAGCUAGUGCUACAUGGAAAGUUGUUGAAACUUCUCGUCCUUAGACAAUCUCGUUGCAACCUACAAUUGCUCAAUAUUAAUCCCUUCAUAGUAGAAAUUUAAUAGAACAAGUAGAGUAGAAAAUAAAUAAAAAAUAAAGCACAGAAACUGAAUAAUCUAACAAAACCGAUAUAGGAAAAAUUCGAUCAACGAGUUGGAGGAUUACAAGAUCUGCCACCUUCAUGAGACCUUCGAGGCUAGAAUUGUUCUUCAUGUUGACUCGGUGGAUCUAGAUGUAAUCGGCUUAAGAGAGCUCACCCGAGCUAAAAGGCUCUAGCACAUGCUUGAUCUUAUAACAAAAAUCACCGCCAUACACCGCCUAAAAAAAAAUAAGAAUUCUUCUCGACGCAAUUUGUUUGGAAGUGAUAAGGGAGAGACCAUAAUAUUCCUACACUUUAAGCUGAAAAGGGGUAAAAGGGGGGCAAAAAAUAUUCAAUUCUUAUCAUGAAACUAUCAAUUCUUUCCCAAGAAUCAUGAAGAAGAUGUUCAUGAAUUGAUAAAAUAAACUUGCUUGAGAUGGGUCUAAACAGUAGGGAAAAUUAGAUGGAAAUUCUUGAGAGAGUCGUAACUCCAACUGUUCCGAGAAGCCGAUUGCGAAUCAAAGAAUGAUGCAAUGAUUCCAUUGCUUCUUCUCCAAGAUCUUGAGGAGACCACGAGUCUCUUUGGAAAUCCGCCACAAGGAAAGGGAAAAGGAAAGGUUAGCACUACUUUCCAUCUUGUAGCAUUAGAGAGGCGUGUGAGAAAAGAUUUCCGUAAGGGAGCAUUUAAUACACUCCCGUUUGAACCAAUUUAUGAAUGGUAGAAAAAAAUCAGGUGUGAAAAAGGGAACCAUAAGAAUGAACAUUGAAGGCCUGAUUCCCUCUUUUAUUUAGUACGAUGAUAUAUCUAACUCAAAUAACAAAAAAUUAAUCUUCAAACUUCAGAGGAUCAUCCAAAUACAUGCUAAUAUACAAGGCAAUAUUCUGAAUCACUUUUGAGAUAAAGUAACAAGUACUCACAAAUCAAUAUUCUAUUAUUCUUUUAGCAUACCAAAUGUAAUAUACGCAUAUAAAAUUUGUAAAUAUCAUCUAAGAUUUGUGAUUAUCUAAAAGCAUCAUCAACGUGCAUGACAUUGUAAAAUAUCACCAUAUAAUAAAAAUCCUUUUUCUCAUAAGCUUAAUUAUUUAUUAGUGAAUUUAUCUUAAAGGCAUCAUGGGUGUGUAUCACGUCAUAUACAUUCAAAAAUUUCUAGCAAGUCAACAUGAACUGACAAUAAUUUGCUGGCAGCAAUGUUUUUGUAAUAACGGUCAAAUUUAUAACAAUUAAGGUAACAAAUACAUCCCAUUUGUUAUCCUCUGUCUGAAAUUGCCUCAUAGCUAUGCUUUCCAAUCGUCAGCAUUCAUAACCGCAGCUAUAGCAGCUUCAUCAAGGAUAACCAAAAUACUGUUUAAUUGUUCGAAAGCACAAGAGAACCACAUUUGUUAUCGGUACAUAAAAAUGAAAUGAUCUCCAUUACCUGAAUGUUAAGGAUUUUGGCUGUUUUAGUAGCAUUAAACCGAUAAGAAUUGGUUGUAGGGAUCUGCUUUCUCUCUCUAAUUUCAGCAUCUCCAAAGAUAUCUUUCUCAACUAAUCUAUAAACAUUCCUGGUGCUUGGACCUAACAUCAAUUCAAAACACCACCGAAUUUAGUUUUAGUAAGAGAUAAACUAUUGUAUGAAACGUAUAAUUCAAAUUGCGCACAGUAUAAAGCAAAAAAAGCUUGUGUGAGAGAAACACCCAACUUAUUACAACUAUAUAAGUUCUCCUCAAACCUCCUUACCGCUUUUAUAUAUGUUUAUGUAUUCCCUCCUCUCCCAAGAAAGGAAGAUGCCUCUUGAAGGUGUCAAUUCUAUACAUUUGAAGCAUCAUAAUAUUUAUACGUUAAUGACACUACAGAUACUAAAUGCAAGAAUCUGUAGUAAAACUAAACUAUGUGACAAUAAAGCACUCUAAAUUUCGACCCUGUUAGAUUUUUCUAGUAAAUUUAUCAAUUGACAUAACUAUUAGGUGAAUUCAAAUAUUAAGCAUUUAGUGCAACUUCUAAUUUUCAUCCACAAUAUUAUGGCCAAGAAUUUCAAUGUUUCACAUCAUGUGCUUUAAGCAAUGGCAAUUUUCCAAAGAAGAAGCCUAUUUUAAGCAAGGUAACAUUAUCCCUAGAAGCCAUAGAAGGAUGUGAGUCCAUCUAAUCCUAGACAAAAGCAGUAUCAACCUCUCAUAAAUAGAAUUGAUACUUCAAUUUCUAUUACAUAAAAUUAGCACAAGAAAAACCUUAAAACUGAAGAUCAGAAGUUGAUAACUGCUGAAGUUGUCAAAUAUAUAGACAUACGGUCAUAAAUAUCAAUAACUUUACGUCUUCCCAAUUGAUACUCUUGCUUGCCUCACAAGACUUGAGAAAAAUUAAUAUCAAAUUGUUCAAGUUCAUCCUGCAUAGAAAUGGCAGAAUCAUUUGCUUGAGCCAUAUUGGAAAUACAUUCAAACACACUUUCAUUGGCGGGAAGUAGCAUUUAUGCAUAGGACAAGAUAGGAAUAGAAUAAAUUUAUAUCAAGGUGACUUUUUAGGUCAAUUUGCAUUACUUAUUUUUUACAUUAGGCUGAAGAAGGUCAAUUUUUUCUCAAUCAUUUUUCUUAAG